AGAGUUUGAUCCUGGCUCAGAUUGAACGCUGGCGGAAUGCUUUACACAUGCAAGUCGAACGGCAGCACGGGUGCUUGCACCUGGUGGCGAGUGGCGAACGGGUGAGUAACAUAUCGGAACGUAUCCAAUAAUGGGGGAUAACUAAUCGAAAGGUUGGCUAAUACCGCAUACGCCCUACGGGGGAAAGCAGGGGAUCUUCGGACCUUGCGUUAAUGGAGCGGCCGAUAUCUGAUUAGCUAGUUGGUGGGGUAAAGGCCUACCAAGGCGACGAUCAGUAGCUGGUCUGAGAGGACGACCAGCCACACUGGAACUGAGACACGGUCCAGACUCCUACGGGAGGCAGCAGUGGGGAAUUUUGGACAAUGGGCGCAAGCCUGAUCCAGCCAUUCCGCGUGAGUGAAGAAGGCCUUCGGGUUGUAAAGCUCUUUCGCAAGGGAAGAAAACUUACCUUCUAAUAAAGGGUGAGGUUGACGGUACCUUGAUAAGAAGCACCGGCUAACUACGUGCCAGCAGCCGCGGUAAUACGUAGGGUGCGAGCGUUAAUCGGAAUUACUGGGCGUAAAGCGUGCGCAGGCGGUUUUGUAAGUCAGAUGUGAAAUCCCCGGGCUCAACCUGGGAACUGCGUUUGAAACUACAAGACUAGAAUAUGUCAGAGGGGGGUAGAAUUCCACGUGUAGCAGUGAAAUGCGUAGAGAUGUGGAGGAAUACCAAUGGCGAAGGCAGCCCCCUGGGAUAAUAUUGACGCUCAUGCACGAAAGCGUGGGGAGCAAACAGGAUUAGAUACCCUGGUAGUCCACGCCCUAAACGAUGUCUACUAGUUGUUGGUGGAGUAAAAUCCAUGAGUAACGCAGCUAACGCGUGAAGUAGACCGCCUGGGGAGUACGGUCGCAAGAUUAAAACUCAAAGGAAUUGA
rnacentral:rRNA from 1 species